UGGACCAGUGAUGAGAAAGUGUUUAUGAACAAAAAAUCGUGAUUAAUCCAGUUCUGUGCAAAAUACUGAGGUCCAUU
rnacentral:snoRNA from 1 species